GGACCUGAGAGUGGGCAGCCACUACCUGAAGCUCUUGGAACAGAACCAGACUUCUGGCCGGGGCUCAGUCAGUGCUUGCAAGAUGUUUGUUGGCACCAGGCUGUGCCAGGAGAGCAUCAUUAUAAACUGCUGAUCUACUGUUUCUUUGUCAAACGGGAGGAGAUAACAUGAGGGUCAUGAGAAAUGUUUGCAGACGGAGUGAAUGCCUUGAAAGUGCUGCGACCAGGUGCUGACACCCGGAGGUCUGGCUGCUCAAAGUGUUAGCUGACACGGAAGACACACGGACUUUCCCUCCAUUCCCCAAAACUCCCCUUCCCUGACUCGUCAGCUGCAUAAAAACCCUCUCCUUAUCUCUUUGUCAAGGGGAUUUGAGAAAUCUUGCUGUCUUGUCUUCUUGCUUUGGCCAAAUGGAAUAAACCUUUCUCUGUCUCCAGAC
ensembl:lncRNA novel transcript